AGAGUUUGAUUAUGGCUCAGGAUGAACGCUGGCGGCGUGCUUAACACAUGCAAGUCGAACGGAGUUUUUAAACGGAAGUUUUCGGAUGGAGGUUUAGAAACUUAGUGGCGGACGGGUGAGUAACGCGUGGGUAACCUGCCUCAUACAGGGGGAUAACAGUUAGAAAUGACUGCUAACACCGCAUAAUAUAGCGAAACCGCAUGAUUUUUGCUAUCAAAUAUUUAUAGGUAUGAGAUGGGCCCGCGUCUGAUUAGCUAGUUGGUGGGGUAAAAGCCUACCAAGGCGACGAUCAGUAGCCGGCUUGAGAGAGUGACCGGCCACAUUGGGACUGAGACACGGCCCAAACUCCUACGGGAGGCAGCAGUGGGGAAUAUUGGACAAUGGGGGAAACCCUGAUCCAGCGAACCGCCGCGUGAGUGAAGAAGUAUUUCGGUAUGUAAAGCUCUAUCAGCAGGGAAGAUAAUGACAGUACCUGACUAAGAAGCCCCGGCUAACUACGUGCCAGCCGCUGC
rnacentral:rRNA from 1 species